AAUUUCAGCUGAAAAAGUCAUAAACAUAAAAGUUGUAGAACUCAUCAACAUAUAUAACUUUUAUUUUGAUCAUUUCUUCAUCCGAUAAAGUGAUAGUAAUAUUGUUCACAAAAUUUACAUAUUUCUCUUAUAGUUUAUAAAACCAUAUGAGAGAUAUGUAAAAUUCAUGAUAAUAUUACUAUCACUUUGUCAGAUGAAGAAAUGACCAAAAUAAAAGUUAUAAAUCUUGAUGAGUUAUACAACUUUGUUGUUGAUGACUUUUUCAAUUGAAAUC
rnacentral:pre_miRNA from 1 species